rnacentral:lncRNA from 1 species
GCAGUCAACUGUAGCAUAAUAGAUUGCAGACCUUUGUGAAAAAUCACUGUGAAGGCUUCAGCAGAGAACUGCACCGUCAGCAGGUGGCAAAAGGAGGGGCCAUUGGUAUGCAACCUUGUAUGAGAACACAGACUUUUUU